ensembl:lncRNA
AUCUUUGUCUAUGCCUUUAUUGUGUUACUAAUUAGAAUUAACAGAAUAAAUGGAAAUGUACAUAGUAUUUGAUAGUGUUCCUUUAAUAGAAAAUGGUUAACUUGAAUUACUUACAAGUUUUACAUAUUUCAGUACUGUUGUAACUGCACUCAAGCUAUGUCAUUACCUUUUAUUCCGACUGUGAAAACAUUUAUUAGAUGAACAAUUUCUAAUUUUGAUAUCUAGUUCAUAAUCCACAGUUGUCAAUAAUGAAGAUAGUAUGUAACACAGUGCAUAGAAGACAUUUAUAUCAGGCCUAGCAAUGUUGGGUAACAAUCUCAUGCUUUAAUGUACAACGGUUUAUCCUAAGCAGACUUUAAUGCAGUGAUCCUCUUGUCAAUCUUCAGCAUUUCUCUACUGUGAGUGACCACUCCCUUCUCCAAGGACAAAAGAAAUCCAGUCUCUGGAUUAAUCAGCACAUAGAUCCUAUGCAGGUCACAAAUAUGGUCAAAGUACCAGAGGCCCAUGAAGCUACAUAUGAAGAAUGCUUGCACUGAAUUAUUUUCCAACAAACAGAACCCAGUAUUUUCUAUUAGGCACAGCUUUUGUAGUGCAGAAAAACAAAACUGAUAUAUUUAUAUUAAUAUUUUAAUAAUUAUCAUAUCUGCAAAGUAGAAGUUUAAGAAUAUCUGCCUCAUUUUGAAAAUAAACUGCAAAGUAGUAAUUAUAUUUUGUAUUCAAAUGUUAGACACAUUGGAUGAAUGUGGGGUUUUUUUCCCCACUGCAAAGUGGGGAGACUGUAUUAUUAAAAAACACUCACUGGCAUUAGUUUUGUAUUUAUGUCUAAAUAAAACUAAUAUAUGCUUUCCCCCUUGUCUGUUACUUGUUCGGGUUAGUUGGAAGCUGAAAAUGUCAGUUUACAGGUUUUGUAUGUGCAAAGUAAGUCUUGGAAAGAUGAGUAUCCAUGAAGUGUUGAUCUGACUUCUCAUCACAGAGCUGACUGAAUUUAUUAUUUUCUGAAAAAAAUCAUCAAACAUCUUGACUUUGUAUCUCAAAUCUACAACUUUACAGAACUACCACUGCUGCUAUACCAAAAGGCUUUGGAGUGUUCUAAAAAAUAUUGCUUUUAAGGUAGAUGGUAGAAGUGCAGCAUUCUACGUUACAGCCAUAAUUUAAGUAUUGACUACAGAACACAAUCAGUGUUCACUGAGUUUAAACACAUUUUUUGCAGACAUCAGCAGAGGUAGUGUAUUUUAUCAGUGUGCUUCAUGCAAGCUUUGUGGUGAGUUGUAGCAAUUUCAUUAGCUAUUGUGACUGAAUAAGGUGAUCACCUUACCAUUGGUAAAUGUCAGACUGCCAGGUAUUAUUGUCUCAAUGAAAUUAUUGCACCUGAUACACAAUUUAAUUUAUUCUUUGUAUAGCAUAAUAGAUUAUUCUAAAUAACUUACUUCUUGUGUCACAUAUGCUUGUAGUCAGUAUAGAAUCGUAGAAGCAUAGAAUCAUAGAAUCACCAAGACCUCUAAGAUCAUCCAGUACAACCAUUCAGCUAUCACCAAUGUUUCCCAUUAACUAUGUAGGUUUUUCCAUUGUUACUGUUGUUGGGAUUGGGCUGUACUUAUGUUUCUGUCUGUUUCCCACCCACUGAUUUCAGUGAACACUUAACAGAUCUAGAAGCCAUAAGUACUGCCUGUAGAAUACUCAGAAGCUCUCUGUUCUAUCAGCAAUGGAAGCAACAAAAUGAUUUUUGCUGUUCUAAGUGUAGUAGUCCAGCAGUGAAGCACCGCACCGCUGUUACUGAAAGAAAUAUAAUAUAGUCCUGUUGUAAUGCACAUGAAAUUGAUUGACUGAUGUUAGGAUUCCUAUUCCAAGUAUGCACUGUCUGAUGCACUGACAGUGAACAUCCUUGGCAGGGCAGUGUUGCUGUAUGCUGUUUCACUGCAGCUAAGCCACAGCUCCUUGCGCAGGUGCAUGACAUCUAGCAUUCAUACAAAUGUGUUCCCAAACACAUGGUGUUAAAGAGAAGUGCCACCAAAUGGCACUGGGACUGCACGCACAGCAGCUGAGAAGUGGACUUUUAAUACCUAGUGAUUGUGCGUACAACUGUGGUUUGUUUCCUCUUCUAUUCAGUGUGCUUUGUGCCUCACAGAGUACAGUGUGCAUGCUCCAAGGGGCAGCAUCUUCCUCCUAGAAUCGUGAAUCACUAAGGUUGGAAAAGACCUUCAAGAUCAUUAAGUCCAACCCUGACUGACACAGCCCGACAGUGAAAGGUUGCUCCUCUGGUGUCAUGUGUGUUUUUUUCAGUUCACUUACUCACUUCCAGUUUAUUUAGUCAUUAUGAAAAUCGAAUGUUUCAGAUGCUGGUCUUCAUGCUGCUUUGCAGCUAAGCACUGACUGCCUUUCCCCUGGGGCCCUGAUGAGGCUGCAGUGCUGCCAGGCUGAGUGCAUGCACCCUCCAAGCUGCCAAGCUCUGACCUCUUCCCCUGCCCUCCUUGAAAUGAGUAAUGCUUUCCUCAGCUUUCCCACAGACACUUAGUCAGUACAUGUACAUAUGCAUUUAAUGACUUCUAAGCGUUUUCACUGCAAGUUCAGAUGAGCUUAUAAGAAACUUAUUUUUUAACAGUGGAAUGUUUACACUGUGGAAAGCUAUGCUUUUCCAUGCCUGUGUGUACGCCCUUUUCCCUUGUCCUUUAAAUAUACCCAAUGUACUUUUCCCCCUGAGGGAGAAUUCAGCUUCUGAUGUCCCUAAGUCCAUAACUGUGCAAGUACGAUAUGAAGAGACUGACUAGUUACCGUGUUUUUCAAAUUUAGCCAUUAUCUCUUCCUACUGUAAGUACAGAAAGAAAAGAUGAUACUCGUGCAAAAUGGUGAUUGAAACAACAAAAAAAGAAGUUAAUAAUAGAAAUCAGUUAACCUCAACUUCUUGCCCUCUCUGUAUAGAUUGCGAUAGGAGCUUUAUUGACACUUAGGCCACUGAAAGGUAGAAAAAAUAAUUUUCCUAAAAAUAUGUCACCUUGAAAACAAAGUUUCUCUCCCCAUCAGGGUCAUCACGAUCCAGUUUGCGUAUGUCAAGUGAGUGAUCAUUCACAUGCAGAAAGUAAUUUUUGUCUUCGUAGCACUGGAACUUCACUGAGUCUCCUUCAGAAUGCAUGAUGAAAAAGUGAUUAUCUUC